GACGAACGCUGGCGGCGUGCUUAACACAUGCAAGUCGAACGGCAAGGCCCUGCUUUUGUUGGGUGCUCGAGUGGCGCACGGGUGAGUAACGCGUGAGUAACCUGCCCUUUACUUUGGGAUAACUUCAGGAAACUGGGGCUAAUACCGGAUAGGAGCUCCUGCUGCAUGGUGGGGGUUGGACAGUUUCGGCGGUUGGGGAUGGACUCGCGGCUUAUCAGCUUGUUGGUGGGGUAGUUGCUUACCAAGGCUUUGACGGGUAGCCGGCCUGAGAGGGUGACCGGGCACAUUGGGACUGAGAUACGGCCCAGACUCCUACGGGAGGCAGCAGUGGAGAGUAUUGCACAAUGGGCGGAAGCCUGAGGCAGCAACGCCGCGUGCGGGAUGAAGGCCUUCGGGUUGUAAACCGCUUUCGCCUGUGACGAAGCGUGAGUGACGGUAAUGGGUAAAGAAGCACCGGCUAACUACGUG
rnacentral:rRNA from 1 species